rnacentral:misc_RNA from 1 species
AAGUCGUAACAAGGUCUCCGUUGGUGAACCAGCGGAGGGAUCAUUAUCGAGUUUAUCAACUCCCAACCCUAUGUGAACCUACCUUUAUGUUGCUUCGGCGGUGUCGCGCCGGGUUGCCCCCAGCGGGCUCCCGGGACCACGCGCCCGCCGGAGACCACAAACUCUUGAUUUUGCGAAAGCAGUAUUCUUCUGAGUGGCCGAAAGGCAAAAAACAAAUGAAUCAAAACUUUCAACAACGGAUCUCUUGGUUCUG